GGGCAAUUUAAAAGAAGUUUGCUGACAUGUACAGACUAUAGCACUUUAUUCACGCACACACAAGCACUUUAUCAAUAUUCCUGAGGAAGUCUAGUGGAUCUAGACGAAACGCGUCAAGUUGAGCUUGUUAUUUUAUUAUUUGCUUGUUUUAUUUUAUUUUAUUUUAGUUAAUUUGUUUUUAUGUUUUGUUCCUGGUUCCUGUUACUCCUCCACAUAUCUGCAGAGCUGUAACCUGGACUGGGCACCAUGUGUAUUCAUUGAUGGGCAUUUAUUUGCUUUGUAUCCUGUAAGUGUGACCAUUCAAGUGUAUUUUCUAUUUUUAUACAUAAUGCACUAUGGUUUCUUCACUUUUUCUCUCCACAUGAAUGACUGAAUUGCUGAAUUACAU